UGCUCCCUCUGGCGGCGUGCCUAAUACAUGCAAGUCGAGCGGACCGGAUUGGGGCUUGCCUUGAUUCGGUCAGCGGCGGACGGGUGAGUAACACGUGGGCAACCUGCCCGCAAGACCGGGAUAACUCCGGGAAACCGGAGCUAAUACCGGAUAACACCGAAGACCGCAUGGUCUUCGGUUGAAAGGCGGCCUUUGGGCUGUCACUUGCGGAUGGGCCCGCGGCGCAUUAGCUAGUUGGUGAGGUAACGGCUCACCAAGGCGACGAUGCGUAGCCGGCCUGAGAGGGUGACCGGCCACACUGGGACUGAGACACGGCCCAGACUCCUACGGGAGGCAGCAGUAGGGAAUCUUCCGCAAUGGGCGAAAGCCUGACGGAGCGACGCCGCGUGAGCGAAGAAGGCCUUCGGGUCGUAAAGCUCUGUUGUGAGGGACGAAGGAGCGUCGUUCGAAGAGGGCGGCGCGGUGACGGUACCUCACGAGAAAGCCCCGGCUAACUACGUG
rnacentral:rRNA from 1 species